UACGCAGGGGGCUAGCGUUGUUCGGAAUUACUGGGCGUAAAGGGCGCGUAGGCGGCCUGCUAAGUCGGACGUGAAAUCCCUCGGCUCAACCGAGGAACUGCGUCCGAUACUGGUGGGCUUGAAUCCGGGAGAGGGAUGUGGAAUUCCAGGUGUAGCGGUGAAAUGCGUAGAUAUCUGGAGGAACACCGGUGGCGAAGGCGGCAUCCUGGACCGGUAUUGACGCUGGGGAGCGAAAGCUAGGGGAGCAAACGGG
rnacentral:rRNA from 1 species